CGAGAGGAACUUAAAACCUUUCAGGUGUGACAGGUGACAUGCAUUCUGAUGCCGCUGUGAGAGAACCUCUCAGUGAAUUGUGCAGAAAAUACAAACUUACAGGAUGAAACUGGAAAAGGAAAAAGCCGAUAGAAGAGAGAAGAAGAAGAAGAAGUCCAAACACUCCUCUAAAGACCGAGACAAGGGGUCUGAGCUGAACGGCAAACACAAGUCCUCCUCGAAGAUGAAGCGGUCAGAGAGUCCGUCAGGAGUCCGCAGGUGCGUCCACUAACACCUGCUCACUCAAACACUAACUGAAGCGCUAACAGAAAGUUCAGC